CCUACGGGUGGCUGCAGUGGGGAAUUUUGGACAAUGGGGGCAACCCUGAUCCAGCCAUGCCGCGUGCGGGAAGAAGGCCUUCGGGUUGUAAACCGCUUUUAGCCGGAAAGAAAAGGCGCCUCCUAAUACGGGGUGUUCUUGACGGUACCGGCGGAAUAAGCACCGGCUAACUACGUGCCAGCAGCCGCGGUAAUACGUAGGGUGCGAGCGUUAAUCGGAAUUACUGGGCGUAAAGCGUGCGCAGGCGGUUCGUUAAGUCUGAUGUGAAAGCCCCGGGCUCAACCUGGGAAUGGCAUUGGAAACUGGCGGGCUGGAGUGUGGCAGAGGGGGGUGGAAUUCCGCGUGUAGCAGUGAAAUGCGUAGAGAUGCGGAGGAACACCGAUGGCGAAGGCAGCCCCCUGGGCCAACACUGACGCUCAGGCACGAAAGCGUGGGGAGCAAACAGGAUUAGAUACCCCAGUAGUC
rnacentral:rRNA from 1 species